rnacentral:rRNA from 1 species
UACGGGGGGGGCAAGCGUUGUUCGGAAUUACUGGGCGUAAAGGGCUCGUAGGCGGCCAACUAAGUCAUACGUGAAAUCCCUCGGCUUAACCGGGGAACUGCGUGUGAUACUGGAUGGCUUGGAUUUGGGAGAGGGAUGCGGAAUUCCAGGUGUAGCGGUGAAAUGCGUAGAUAUCUGGAGGAACACCGGUGGCGAAGGCGGCAUCCUGGACCAAUAUUGACGCUGAGGAGCGAAAGCUAGGGGAGCAAACGGG